rnacentral:rRNA from 1 species
AGAGGGGGCAAGCGUUAUUCGGAAUUAUUGGGCGUAAAGGGCGCGUAGGCGGCCUGGCAAGUGGAAGGUGAAAUCCCUCGGCUUAACCGAGGAACUGCCCUCCAAACUGCUUGGCUUGAGUCCGGGAGAGGUGAGUGGAAUUCCCAGUGUAGCGGUGAAAUGCGUAGAUAUUGGGAGGAACACCAGUGGCGAAGGCGGCUCACUGGACCGGAACUGACGCUGAGGCGCGAAAGCGUGGGGAGCAAACGGGAUUAGAUACCCCGGUAGUCCACGCCGUAAACGAUGAGUGCUUGGUGUAGCGGGUAUCGACCUCUGCUGUGCCGAAGUCAACACAUUAAGCACUCCGCCUGGGGAGUACGGUCGCUAGGCU